CUGAAAGAACAUCGCAGAGACAUCGAGAAGGGGGCUAUUAACACAGCCUUAGCUGCAGAAGCUUAUAACAAAGAUAUCAGAAUACAAUGGGACUAGGCAAGAAUCAUAAAACCAGUGUGAAAAAAGUCACAAGUCUACAUGACGGAAGCAAUAGAAAUCAUGAAAGCAAAAAGAAGAAAAGUCAUCAACCAAAGUACCAUGGUUGCUCUACUACCAGCCUAGAUCUAUCUCAUAGAGAAAGCCUAAUACCCGAAGACCCAUGUAUCCUGCCUGUAAAAGUUUUGUUUCCCCCUUUUUAUUUUCUAUUGCAUGAGCAAAAGGAUAUUCUGCUUGUAUUUUUAUGAAAAGUAUUUUUAUUAGUGUAUUUCUGUAAGUAGUCACAUUAAAUACUGUAACAUAGUCCAUAUUUUUAUGUUAAUUUUACAAUAUCAUUUAAAAAUUUGUAUUCAAAACAAGACGUUCUAGAAUGCACAACUGUUUUUUUGUUAGAAC
rnacentral:lncRNA from 1 species